UCAAGGAUGASCCCGCGUUGGAUUAGCUAGUUGGUGGGGUAAAGGCCUACCAAGGCGACGAUCCAUAGCUGGUCUGAGAGGAUGAUCASCCACAUUGGGACUGAGACACGGCCCAAACUCCUACGGGAGGCAGCAGUGGGGAAUAUUGGACAAUGGGCGCAAGCCUGAUCCAKCCAUGCCGCGUGAGUGAUGAAGGCCCUAGGGUUGUMMAKCUCUUUCACCGGAGAAGAUAAUGACGGUAUCCGGAGAAGAASCCCCGGCUAACUUCSUGCCARCAGCCGCGGUAAUACGAAGGGGGCUAUCGUUGUUCGGAAUUACUGGGCGUAAAGCGCACGUAGGCGGAUCGAUCAGUCAGGGGUGAAAUCCCAGGGCUCAMCCCUGGAACUGCCUUUKAUACUGUCGAUCUGGAWUAUGGAAKAGGUGAGUGGAAUUCCSAKUGUAGAGGUGAMAUUCGUAGAUA
rnacentral:rRNA from 1 species